GGCCGGGUGGCUGAGUGGUUAAGCGGGUACGUUCAUUGCCCCGCCAGAAGAUACUGUACAUCAUGUGGGUUCGAUUCCCACCCUGGCCG